rnacentral:rRNA from 1 species
CCUACGGGAGGCAGCAGUGAGGAAUAUUGGUCAAUGGGCGCGAGCCUGAACCAGCCAAGUCGCGUGAGGGAAGACGGUCCUAUGGAUUGUAAACCUCUUUUGUCGGGGAGCAAAAGACGCCACGCGUGGCGUUCCGAGAGUACCCGAAGAACAAGCAUCGGCUAACUCCGUGCCAGCAGCCGCGGUACUACGGAGGAUGCGAGCGUUAUCCGGAUUUAUUGGGUUUAAAGGGUGCGCAGGCGGAAGAUCAAGUCAGCGGUAAAAUUGAGAGGCUCAACCUCUUCGAGCCGUUGAAACUGGUGUUCUUGAGUGAGCGAGAAGUAUGCGGAAGGCGUGGUGUAGCGGUGAAAUGCAUAGAUAUCACGCAGAACUCCGAUUGCGAAGGCAGCAUACCGGCGCUCAACUGACGCUCAUGCACGAAAGUGUGGGUAUCGAACAGGAUUAGAUACCCCAGUAGUC